GACUCUGAGUUGUGGAUCACUCUGCUCAUGUGUCAAUGAAGAGCACAGCUUGCUGCGAGAACUAAUGUGAAUUGCAGGACACAUUGAUCAUCGACACUUUGAAUGCACUUUGCGGCCCUGGGUUACUCCCAGGGCUACGUCUGUCUGAGGGUCU